rnacentral:rRNA from 1 species
AUACGGAGGGUGCAAGCGUUACUCGGAAUCACUGGGCGUAAAGCGCGCGCAGGCGGGCUGAUAAGUUGGAUGUGAAAGCCUACGGCUCAACCGUAGAACUGCAUCCAAAACUGUCAGUCUAGAGUCUGGGAGGGGAAGAUGGAAUUAGUUGUGUAGGGGUAAAAUCCGUAGAGAUAACAAGGAAUACCAAAAGCGAAGGCGAUCUUCUGGAACAGUACUGACGCUGAGGCGCGAAAGCGUGGGGAGCAAACAGGAUUAGAUACCCUAGUAGUCC